AUAUAUAUACACACACACACACACUUCUUUUCAGUGAAGGAAGCCGUCUGUUUUUAAACACUAAAAUCUUAAAUCUUUUUAAGUCGUCACUGUGAAAUCACCUGAUUUUGCCUUACAUGAGUAUUCUACUGUUCUACUUAAGUGUCUAAUGUGACAACGUAUUUUCGUAACUUAUUGUAACAUUUUCUUGUAUUUGAGAGGAACUUAACUUUUGGUCAGUGAUAUUUGUGGUUAUGUUGUGUAAGGUUUGACAAAUCAAUGUACUGUAUUUUGUAUCGGUACAGUUUAUAGCCAAAUUGUUGAUGUUUUUUAAAGUGGGGCAAAAAACGAAAACAAACUAAACAAACAAAAAAAAAAAAUCAAAGGAUGGGUUUAAAGUUUGAGAAGGAGUGCAAUUAUGGGGAGGCUUUUUGCUCUUUGACAGGGAAACUCUAACAAAAACACUACUUUGCCACAGAGGUCAUCAAAAACAAAAGUAUCAUGCAAAGUGUAGGAAUUUUAAUGGCCGAAUGGUUGUUUCAUAUGAUGCAAAUGAAGUUACUAUGAACAUGAUGUUUUUUUAUUGAAGAAUGUCGGUUUACUCCAUUUAGUAAACAGAUAAGUGGGUCUGUUUAAGAAAAGAGUGUAUUUAUGUCAUCGCUGUUGGGCACAAACCUCGUAUCUCCAUAUUGUCAUUUUUUCAUAAAUGAAUGGUAUUGGUCACCCUUUACGUCUGUCGGUGGGUUUUACAAAUCCUUAAACCGUGACCGAUUGAGGCGAUUUUUAUUUUUCACUUUGUCUUAGGUCAUAGAUACAUAUAGGUAAAUGGCUCAAUAAUAUGUUUUCAAAUUAGCCUUUUAUUCAUUUCCUGAAAAGCAAUGGUUUUGGAUAUACAAGGUUUUCGCCUGACAGCGACGAUAUUAAGUAUUGUAUGCAAUUUUCCGACUGCACUGAGAUUCGCCCCACUCCAGUGUGUAAAAACAACAAAAAACGGUCCCAAAAACAGUAGGAUGUAUUAGAGUCUUAAACUGUUUACGCCACCUUUUACAACUGAAAAAUGUUUACACAAGUUUCAUCUGAAAAUGUACUGGACAUAUUAAUAUCAUCUCUGACUGCAUCCAAUCUUCUUUGCCAAAAUGUGUCAAACAAAUUGUGUCAAAGUUCAAUCUGCCUUGGCCUUUUGUCAGAGUUUCCCUGAGAGAGGUGUGUUUAGGUCUGUGGGAUCAUGUUUGGUAUAUUGUAAUGUUCAUGUACAGACAUACUAAUCAUUUAUUCACCUAAAGCGCUGUUUCCAUCCCCUCCUCCCCCCUCCCCUCCUCCCUCCCUAUAAGGAAUCACGUUUGGUUUAAUGCACACCUCAACAGUUCUACAAUUUGUUUCAGUUGAAAUGUUUGUCUGCUGUAAUCCUCCAUCGAAGGUUUUGUUUGCCUUCAACAGAUCUGUGAUUCCUAUGCAAAUGAGAAACACACACACAAAAAAAACCCUUAAAGGAAAAAUCCGCCUCUGAUGUUUGAUUGUUUCAACAUGUUCCAGAAGUUGAGCUGGAUUUAUUCUUCUGAAAUGUUGCGGUAAUGGAGGCAGAGAGGAACUACUGAGAUAAAGAACUGUUCAUUUUCAGCUCAGGCUGUUUUCUCCUACAUGUUACUGAUGUUGGUAGAGAACGUUGAUAGUGAAGACGGCUUUGAGUAAUUUGAAGAAAGGCUCGUGAUUCUCCUUUUCAAUAACACCAGACACAUUGACAGUGUAACCUAGCAAGGCCCUUCACAGUACACAUCACAGUCCUCUCUGUCAUCAUUGCUCUGUGUUACAGAGCAGCUAAAGUCCCAAAUAGUUAGAUUUUUUAUUGUCAUUUUUUAAUUUAACUUAUUUAUUGUCUUUCUGUCAGGGCUUUGCAGGCUCCUUACUCUUUUACUUGUUAUUGCUUCGACAAAACAAGGAAUACCCAUCUCAGUUAUCUCCUUUUUAGUCAGCGGACACAUUUGUGUCCAUUUGUGAUAAUUUGAGAUCAUGCUCAACAUCGGUGCUCUGUGUUAGAAAAUGGAAGAAGAAAUUUAAACUGGAUGAGUAUGAGUAUUUCAAGUGUUGCUAUGACAAUCAACGAGUGAAAUCGUACACUGAACUAUACAUUUAUUUUAACGCCAGAGUAACAAGAAACAUAAAUCCAGCUGUACUUUGAACAUUUUUUUUUUUUUUUUUUUUCGUGAACCUCUAGUUCUUCAGUUGGUAAUUUCCUACAUUUUACCAGACUCCCCCUGAACACAUCUCUUCCUGUGGGACUGUUGAACAAAACAGCUGCUGUAUAAAGAAACCCUUUCUCUUUAAUCCCACAGAAACUGACGCCAAACCUGACUUUCUGUUGAUGUUUUAGAUCAAUGAAACAUUUCUCUGUAGUUGCUGGAAAUAUCCACACAUUUGUUAACCCACAGGAGGAAGAAAAAUAAACCACUAAAAAAUGGCCCGGAAAUGCAAAACACUUUCCCAGAAGCUAUUUUUAUUUGUUGGAUUUUUCCUUUAAGUCCCUGAAACAAAUGUAUAGAACUCAUUCUCUACAGAUUACAUGUUUCCAAAGGUGGUUUUCCUAAAACAAAAUGUGUGUGAGCCCAAACUUCACUGUUGCAUUGCCAGUGAUUUGAGCUUUUUCCUAUCACUUUAUUCCGUGUCAUCCUGCUGAAUACUAGUCAUUCACACUGACCUUGUACAUACGCUAUAGCUGAAACAAAAUGCAUGACUAAACUGACAGUCAAAACCUCUAAAUGAAGGCCUUCUAUAGCUCCGCAGGUUUGAUUUGUGUAACAUAACGCUAUCACAAAGUCUAAAGGGAUGCAUGUAUGGGUUUCUUCUGUGCGACAGUUAACUCCUGUUAAGUGACUCUGUUACCUCCAUCUGUGUAUAAUGCUACUUCACGAAUGAUAAGAGAAUGUAUUUUCUGUGGCAGUGUCCUAGUUCUAGCCUGUUUGCCAAAUGUUGGAGUUUAUUGGUCCCGUCACAGUCGGACCGGACUUGUUGUUCUCUCUGCUCUUCAGUCGCCCCCCUCUCCUCCUCUGUGGAAUCAGUCUCUCUCUCUUCCUACUGUAGCAUCUCACGCGUACGAGUGUAAACAGUCGAAUUCUCGUACAAAAAGAACCCGCAGUCGAUCCGGCCCCCUCCUCUCCGUCAACACAACCCUUUUGGCUUUUCUUAAGAAAAUGGAAGCAGGUUCUGUCUCGCAGAGAAUGCAGAUUGGCACGCGCACUGAUCGUUUGCAUAUGUGGACUUGAAUCUUCUGAAGCUUCUGCAUUACACAGUCAACUGCAUGACAUGAUAGACACAUUGAGCUGAUUCUUAUCCCAUGGUAUGUAAAGGAGUUUGAUCUAGCUAUGCUGAGUUUGUUUAAAGACAUCAGAUAUGUUUUAUGUUGUUGCCUAUCAUGUCAGGUUUUGGACUGUGUAAAGUGUAAUUAUGUUUUUUCUAUUUGUUUUUUUUUUUUUGUGUUUUUGCUUUGCUAUGUGCUAUGUUUAGUCCACUAGUUGCUUUGCAUUUUAUUUGUGAUUUCCUGGCUUUUGAGCAGGGACUGUUCUGCCCGAUGUGAAUGCCGACUGUUUCACUCCAGAUGUUUACUCCGGAGAUAUUUUCCAUGUCAAAGAAAAGAUGAAUUCUCUAUUUUCCUUUGUAAACUAUAUUUUAGCUUGUCUUGUUUUUUUUAUCUGUGAAGAUUUUAGGGGAUGCAAAACUAGAAAGGGCUUACUCCAGUGCAGCUUGCGCUCUCGUGUUGGAAAGGAACGGCACUCUGAAUGUAUUUCUUUGUUGGUCAUUUUUCCCCCAUGUGAAAAAUUGCAGUUUGAGCGAGUUACAGUUCUUAAAGAGACAAUAGAUGGUAGUUAGUUAGUCAAAAAUACUCAAAUGAAGCCGUGUGCAUCGUGACUACACAGAGUGCUGUACGGUGCUGCAACACAGUCUCACUUUGUGAAAUGAACUGCAACUCUAAAAUGUAUAUUACAUGAUUUCGACAUGAGAAAUUUGACUCCAUCAAAAAUAAAAUAUGUCAAACAACUCUUCUCCAGUACAGCAUGCUUAAUCUAACAAACAUGUCCGGCUACAGAAAACACCUACGUGCAAAACAUUUGGUAGAUGCAGCGUGUUGUACUGGAGAAGAGUUGUUGGACACGUUUUAAUUUUGAUGGACUUGCAUUGAAGCUUACACUCCUCUGGAUAUCUAGUGUGCAUACUCAAAGUAUUAGAUACCUUUUUCCCUUGUCUAACAAGGUUAGCUAACAGCAACACUAUCACUGGUAAAGAUUUGAGUUCAAGUUAGGCAGCUAAUACACCUUUGAUUCAAGUAAGGAAAUAAAAAGGCAUGUAUUUGGGGGAAAAGUUUUUUCUUUGAUCUGCAGAGUUAUGUUGAGUUAUGUAACUUUCAUGGGAAACAUUUCCUUCUGUCUGAGGCUAAACACUGAAAUACGGAAAGCAAAACUUUUCAGGUUAACGAAAGUCCAUUUUCCAAACCGAUGAGAUGAACAAAUCACCUUAAUGUAUUUUAUAAUAGUCUGGUUUUAGUCUGAGACACCAAUGACUUGCAUUACUUGUUAGCACAGCUUUUGUUUGUGUUGUGUUAAAAAGCAGUGAAGCUAAAAUCGUGUCCCAAACUGAAGAAGCAGACGAGCGAAGCUCAAACAGGAGUCCUGUGUCUAAAGGCGGUCUUUAAUGCUUGUUCCCAGAGUGUUUUAGGUCUUAAUAAAAUGUCCCUUUAAUAACACAGGGUUUUCUAAAUGACUCUACAACUGUCUCUGGAAAAACACGGUUUAGUUUCCACUUGAAGCUUAUAGUGAGAAUAGCAUAAUAUCACUGUUGUCCUGUAAGUCGUAGUAAAAGAUCUGUAGUUAUUUAUUUGUUGCCAUGUGAUUCUUCUUAUGUGACCAUUUGUUUAUAAGAUGAAAGAAAAAAUGUCAAUUAAAUUGAAUGUGGAAGACA